GUCAUGUUAGGCAUCGUACACGUACUUAACCCCAAGUGUACUGUUUAAUGAAGCAUGUAGGUACUUAAACUGUCAUGUUAGGCAUCGUACACGUACUUAACCCCAAGUGUACUGUUUAAUGAAGCAUGUAGGUACUUAAACCUCUUGAAAAGUCCUUAAAUUGAAAAAAUCGAUUUUAAGGGUACUUGAAAAGUCCUUAAAAAUUUUAAAUCCAAGAAAGGCUAGUAAAUGCUGUCCAGACAUAAACGA